UGAGUAACGCGUGAGGAACCUGCCUUCCAGAGGGGGACAACAGUUGGAAACGACUGCUAAUACCGCAUGAAACAUUUGAACCGCAUGGUUUGAAUGUCAAAGAUUUAUCGCUGGAAGAUGGCCUCGCGUCUGAUUAGCUAGUAGGCGGGGUAACGGCCCACCUAGGCGACGAUCAGUAGCCGGACUGAGAGGUUGACCGGCCACAUUGGGACUGAGAUACGGCCCAGACUCCUACGGGAGGCAGCAG
rnacentral:rRNA from 1 species